ACGGGAGGCAGCAGUGGGGAAUAUUGGGCAAUGGGCGAAAGCCUGACCCAGCAACGCCGCGUGAAGGAAGAAGGUCUUCGGAUUGUAAACUUCUUUUAUGAGGGACGAAGGACGUGACGGUACCUCAUGAAUAAGCCACGGCUAACUACGUGCCAGCAGCCGCGAUAAUACGUAGGUGGCAAGCGUUAUCCGGAUUUACUGGGUGUAAAGGGCGCGUAGGCGGGGAUGCAAGUCAGAUGUGAAAUCCAUGGGCUCAACCCAUGAACUGCAUUUGAAACUGUAUCUCUUGAGUGCUGGAGAGGUAGACGGAAUUCCUAGUGUAGCGGUGAAAUGCGUAGAUAUUAGGAAGAACACCAGUGGCGAAGGCGGUCUACUGGGCUUUAACUGACGCUGAGGCUCGAAAGCGUGGGGAGCAAACAGGAUUAGAUACCCUGGUA
rnacentral:rRNA from 1 species